AUUGAACGCUAGCGGGAUGCCUUACACAUGCAAGUCGAACGGAGUGGCGAACGGGUGAGUAAUGUAGCGGAACGUGCCCAGUAGCGGGGGAUAACUACGCGAAAGCGUAGCUAAUACCGCAGACGAGUAGAGCGGCCGAGAUCGGAUUAGCUGGUUGGUGGGGUAACGGCUCACCAAGGCGACGAUCCGUAGCUGUUUUGAGAGGACGACCAGCCACCCUGGGACUGAGACACGGCCCAGACUCCAACGGGAGUCAGCAGUGGGGAAGUUUGGACAAUGGGGGAAACUCUUAUCCAGCAAUCCCGCGUGAGCGAUGAAGGUCUGCGGGUCGUAAAGCACUUUUGGUAGGAAAGCGGUACCUGCAGAAUAAGCCCCGGCUAACGACGUGCCAGCAGGCGCGGUAAUAC
rnacentral:rRNA from 1 species